GUCCAUGCCGUAAACGAUGAUUACUAGGUGUUGGGGAUUGACCCCCUCAGUGCCGCAGUUAACACAAUAAGUAAUCCACCUGGGGAGUACGACCGCAAGGUUGAAACUCAAAGGAAUUGACGGGGACCCGCACAAGCGGUGGAUGAUGUGGUUUAAUUCGAUGCAACGCGAAAACCUUACCCACCUUUGACAUGGCAGGAAGUCUUCAGAGAUGAGGAUGUGCUCGAAAGAGAACCUGCACACAGGUGCUGCAUGGCUGUCGU
rnacentral:rRNA from 1 species